rnacentral:rRNA from 1 species
GACGAACGCUGGCGGCGUGCUUAAUACAUGCAAGUCGAACGGAAAGGCCCUGCUCUUGUGGGGUGCUCAAGUGGCGAACGGGUGAGUAUCACGUGAGUAACCUGCCCCUGUCUUUGGGAUAACUUCAGGAAACUGGGGCUAAUACCGGAUAUGAGCUCUUGCUGCAUGGUGGGUGUUGGAAAGUUUCGGCGGUUGGGGAUGGACUCGUGGCCUAUCAGCUUGUUGGUGGGGUAGUGGCUUACCAAGGCUUUGACGGGUAGCCGGCCUGAGAGGGUGACCGGCCACAUUGGGACUGAGAUACGGCCCGUACUCCUACGGGAGGCAGCAGUGAGGAAUAUUGCACGAUGGGCGGAAGCCUGAUGCAGCAACGCCGCGUGCGAGAUGACGGCCUUCGGGUUGUAAACCGCUUUCGCCUGUGACGAAGAGUGAGUGACGGUAAUGGGUAAAGAAGCACCGGCUAACUACGUG